GGAGGCCACCUCAGAAGUGUCAUCUCACUCAGCACUCAUUCCCCUGCGGCAAACAGAGACUGAGCAGAUUGAGUGACCCUGGGGCAGAGAGGCCUGGAAGGAAAGGUGUUCAGCCAGUGGGUUGUAAGGCGCUGGUCAGCACCUGCUGAAAUGCUCCUACGGACAGCCCCCUCCUCAAAGACUGUCUCAUUACACAUGGCAGGUUCUAGAGACUCCAGGGGGAGAGCUGCUUUCAAGGCCACAAUGUGUCUGUCCUCCUGGUCCAACCUAUCUGCCUUGUAUGUAUGUAUGUAUUUAUUUUAUUUAUUGUGAAAAGAAACUGCAAACACUAAUAAAAAGCAUAAUUGAGAAGGACAAAAGGCUUGGGGCACCUACCCAAGUGGGGGUGCUACAGGAAGCCUUUGCUAGGGUGUCUGUUGUGCUGCGUGGUUUGUUUUGUUUGCCCCUUUAUUUUGCUUUGCUUGCUCAGUCUGCCUUACCUUUAGAUGCUUCUCACCCUGCGACAGACUUGUGUUUCCUUGUGUUCAGGUUCUGCCUUAAAGCAAGCUUCCAGGCCAUUGGAGUUUCUGUUCAGGGCAUUACAAAUUUCCACAAGAUAUAAAGAGC
rnacentral:lncRNA from 1 species